GAGUUUACAACUCCCAAACCCCUGUGAACAUACCAAUUGUUGCCUCGGCGGAUCAGCCCGCUCCCGGUAAAACGGGACGGCCCGCCAGAGGACCCCUAAACUCUGUUUCUAUAUGUAACUUCUGAGUAAAACCAUAAAUAAAUCAAAACUUUCAACAACGGAUCUCUUGGUUCUGGCAUCGAUGAAGAACGCAGCAAAAUGCGAUAAGUAAUGUGAAUUGCAGAAUUCAGUGAAUCAUCGAAUCUUUGAACGCACAUUGCGCCCGCCAGUAUUCUGGCGGGCAUGCCUGUUCGAGCGUCAUUUCAACCCUCAAGCCCAGCUUGGUGUUGGGACUCGCGAGUUAAAUCGCGUUCCCCAAAUUGAUUGGCGGUCACGUCGAGCUUCCAUAGCGUAGUAGUAAAACCCUCGUUACUGGUAAUCGUCGCGGCCACGCCGUUAAACCCCAACUUCUGAAUGUUGACCUCGGAUCAGGUAGGAAUACCCGCUGAACUUAAGCAUAU
rnacentral:rRNA from 1 species